CCUACGGGUGGCAGCAGUGGGGAAUAUUGCACAAUGGGCGCAAGCCUGAUGCAGCCAUGCCGCGUGUGUGAAGAAGGCCUUCGGGUUGUAAAGCACUUUCAGCGGGGAGGAAGGCGGUGAGGUUAAUAACCUCAUCGAUUGACGUUACCCGCAGAAGAAGCACCGGCUAACUCCGUGCCAGCAGCCGCGGUAAUACGGAGGGUGCAAGCGUUAAUCGGAAUUACUGGGCGUAAAGCGCACGCAGGCGGUCUGUCAAGUCGGAUGUGAAAUCCCCGGGCUCAACCUGGGAACUGCAUUCGAAACUGGCAGGCUAGAGUCUUGUAGAGGGGGGUAGAAUUCCAGGUGUAGCGGUGAAAUGCGUAGAGAUCUGGAGGAAUACCGGUGGCGAAGGCGGCCCCCUGGACAAAGACUGACGCUCAGGUGUGAAAGCGUGGGGAGCAAACAGGAUUAGAUACCCCAGUAGUC
rnacentral:rRNA from 1 species